rnacentral:misc_RNA from 1 species
GCUUAAACAUGCAAAACUCGAUAAGAAAGGGAUGAUAACAAAAACUUCUAUAAUGUUGGGACUUGGUGAAACUGAUGAUGAGCUGAAGGAAGCCAUGGCUGAUCUUAGGGCCAUAGAUGUUGAUAUUUUGACGCUGGGCCAAUAUUUACAGCCAACCCCAUUACAUCUUACCGUCAAAGAAUAUGUUACCCCCGAAAAGUUUGCUUUUUGGAAGGACUACGGAGAGUCUAUUGGCUUCCGUUAUGUUGCCAGUGGUCCCUUGGUUCGAUCCUCCUACCGAGCAGGAGAACUGUUUGUUAAGACAAUGGUGAAAGAGAGUGCCAGAAAUGCACAAACUAUGUCACAAUAGUUUGCUGCCUCUUCUCUCACACAUACAUACAAGAAGCUGCAAUUGAGAAAAAUGGAACACCCGCUUCACCAGCAAUUGCCUUUGCUAGCAAGGUUUUCCCAGUACCAGGAGGACCAACAAGAAGAACACCU